AUGCAAACAUAUGCUUUCCUGGAUCCUGGCAGUUCCGGCACAUUCUGUACAGAAACCAUGGCGAAAAGGUUAAAUUUGCGAGGUAAAAAGACAAGCAUUUUGUUGAGAACAAUGGGCCAACGGAAGGUUGUGAAUGCUUAUGUUUUGUCAGGUCUUGAAGUUUCUGGCAUGGGUGCUGCAGAUUUCAUAGAGCUUCCUGAUGUUUUGACUCAAAGAACUAUACCUGUGUCUACACUUAAUAUUCCACGACAAGCAGAUAUUGAUCCAUGGCCAUAUUUGAAGGAUGUAAUACUCCAUGACAUUCAUGCAAAUGUUGAUCUGCUUAUUGGAACCGAUGCCCCUAAGGUUUUGGAGCCGUGGGAAGUAAUAAAUAGUCAAGAUGAGGGCCCAUAUGCUGUCAGAACCAGGGUUGGCUGGGUCAUUAAUGGUCCUCUUCAUGGUGGAAGCUGUAGAGGUAAGAGUGGCUAUUCUGCUGUAACAGCAAAUCGCAUCUCUGUAGAACACCUGCAAGAAAUGCUUGUUAAGCAGUAUCACCAUGACUUUAAUGAGAAAUCAUCAGAAGAGCAGAUUGAAAUGUCCAGAGAAGAUAUUAAGUUCAUGGAUAUUGUCAGUAGUACAGCAAAACUAAUUGGAGGUCAUUACUGUAUUGACUUGCCAUUUAGAAAGGAAAAUGUAACCCUGCCAGAUAAUCGUUAUAUAGCAGAGCAGCGCUUAUGGAGCCUGAAAAGAAAGUUUGACAGGAACAGUGUUUUUAAGGAGGAAUAUACCACGUUCCUAAAUGAAGUAAUAACACAGCGACAUGCUGAGCCAGUUCCUCUUGACCAGCUGACACAGAGCAAUGGGAAAGUGUGGUAUAUCCCUCAUCACGGGGUGUAUCAUCCUCAGAAGGGCAAGCUAAGAGUUGUUUUUGACUGUGCAGCCUCAUAUAAAGGAACAUCGCUCAAAACUCAGCUUUUGCAAGGCCCCGAUCUCACCAACAGCCUCAUUGGAGUUUUAGUCCGAUUUAGGCAGGAGCCUAUUGCAAUAGUGGCUGAUAUUCAAUCUAUGUUUCACCAGGUUCAUGUUUCAAAUAAGCACGUUAACUUUCUCCGCUUCCUCUGGUGGCCAGGUGGUGACACUGCACAGGUUUUGCAGGAAUACCGUAUGAAGGUACAUCUAUUUGGAGCUGCAUCAUCGCCAAGAUGUGCCAAUUAUGCCUUGAGGAGAACUGCAGAUGACAACGCAGAACACUUCCCUCCAGAGGUUGUGAGUACAGUGAAAAACAAUUUUUAUGUCGAUGAUUGCCUCCGUUCAGUGGCCUCAGAAGAGGAAGCUAGGAAAAUGAUCCAGGAUUUAACUGCACUUUGUCAGAAAGGAGGAUUCACUCUGUCAAAGUGGGUCAGCAAUAGUUGUGCAGUGUUGCGCUCUGUCAGUGAAGGCCACAGAGCAAAAGACAUGAUGGAGCUGGAUUUGGAUACAGAUCAACUUCAUGUUGAACGUACAUUAGGACUACAGUGGUACGUUGAGACUGACCAAUUUGGAUUUAAGGCCUCAGCACAAGAGCAACCACAGACAAGAAGAGGAAUUCUUUCGGUGGUCAGCUCCCUUUAUGACCCAUUGGGCUUCCUUGCUCCAUUCAGCAUGAUGGCUAAGUUGUUACUGCAGGAACUCUGUAAAAGAAACUUUGGAUGGGACGAAGAUAUUCCCCAUGUUCUCGCUAAGGAAUGGGCUGGUUGGUUGGAAGAUCUCCACAAGGUGGCAAAGUUCAAGAUUGAUCGUUGCAUUAAGCUUUAUGACUUUGGCAACCCUGUCACUGUACAGCUUCACCACUUCUCUGAUGCCAGUGAGGUUGGGUAUGGAGCUGUCUCUUACUUAAGACUGGAAAGGGAUAAUAAAGUGCAUGUUGCAUUUAUGAUGGGGAAGGCCAGAGUUGCUCCGCUGAAGCAGACAACAAUUCCUCGCCUGGAGCUAACAGCUGCAGUCGUCGCUGUUAGAGUAGACCGCAUGCUACAGAAGGAGUUGCAACUUAGGCUGGAGAAGUCAGUUUUCUGGACUGACAGCACAACAGUCCUUAAAUAUAUAUCAAAUGAAAGCCGGCGAUUCUAUACCUUUGUGGAAGGCCAGAGUUGCUCCGCUGAAGCAGACAACAAUUCCUCGCCUGGAGCUAACAGCUGCCGUCCUCGCUGUUAG
rnacentral:lncRNA from 1 species